GAUGAACGCUGGCGGCGUGCCUAAUACAUGCAAGUCGAGCGAACAGACGAGGAGCUUGCUCCUCUGACGUUAGCGGCGGACGGGUGAGUAACACGUGGAUAACCUACCUAUAAGACUGGGAUAACUUCGGGAAACCGGAGCUAAUACCGGAUAAUAUAUUGAACCGCAUGGUUCAAUAGUGAAAGACGGUUUUGCUGUCACUUAUAGAUGUAUCCGCGCCGCAUUAGCUAGUUGGUAAGGUAACGGCUUACCAAGGCAACGAUGCGUAGCCGACCUGAGAGGGUGAUCGGCCACACUGGAACUGAGACACGGUCCAGACUCCUACGGGAGGCAGCAGUAGGGAAUCUUCCGCAAUGGGCGAAAGCUUGACGGAGCAACGCCGCGUGAGUGAUGAAGGUCCUCGGAUCGUAAAACUCUGUUAUUAGGGAAGAACAAAUGUGUAAGUAACUAUGCACGUCUUGACGGUACCUAAUCAGAAAGCCACGGCUAACUACGUG
rnacentral:rRNA from 1 species